UCUUGCUCCUAACAUCAGUAUAGAAGUACUGCAGGUGAUUGGGAGGCAGUGAGGAAGAGUGAGUAGCUCUGAAAUAGUAGACACCAGACAGGAGACAGCUUACAAAAACUUUCUAAAGAUAAUGUACAAAGUAGAGACAGGUUGAGCAAGUAGAAGACAGCACAACUAUAGAAGCCUAACAAAUAACAUUUAUAGAAGGAUAAUUUGAUAGAAUGGCAGUGCUGAGUCAUAUUUAAUAUGUGACUUACAUUGCCCCAAGAUCUCUUUUCGAUGGAGUUAGAUCAACCAGUUAUUUGUGCCAUCUUUCUGCCUCCUUCCAUGCCCUGUCCCCAGUAUAAACAGAUAGCCUACUCUAUGCUGUAUUGAUACAGCAUGAUGUUUGGCUACUUCUAAUUGUCAAGUUUCACUUACUCAGAAAUACUGGAUUCACACAGAGGUAACUGACUGGCUAAUUACUCUCCUGGGAAUGUGGCGUUAGAUUGAUCAUUAUAAAUAAUGGGAAACCAGAUAAACUUACUCUGCUUUUAGGGCUUGCAUCUGAAACAGGGAAGAGAAAUCAGUAUUAUUUUAUGAUUUUAGCUUUCCUCACUUUUUAGAUGCUGCAGCUGUGUCCUCAUUGUAUUUUAUGGCCAGAAAAAAAAUCACCCCUCAGCAGUUCCUAUAAUUUCAAAUUUAUAACUAUGUCCAGGGUAAUUCACCCGUAAGUCAACUAGAAAUAAAAAUAGAGAAGAUAGACCCAUCUGUUGGAGUGGUUUUUUUAACUGCAGAAAACAUUUCCUUUCUUUAAAAGCAAAGCUGUAAAAUCUGUAUAAAUUUCAAUCUGUAAACCAUGAAACUCUAAUUUUUCCACUUCUCUAGUCACUUUGAGUAAAUGAUUUUGCAUAUGUGGGAUGUCAAAAAUCAACAAAAUGGUCCAAGGGAGUGUGAGAGAUUGAUUUUGACUACAUUAAAGUCUUUUAAGGAAUAGCAAAAAAGAUUCUUCAGGUAAAUAAGAACCGAAAGAAUUCUACACUGCUUGGUACUGAAAGAUCUGUGUCUUCAGCUGAAAACAUUUGGCUAGAAUUUCACCAGAAGUGGUCUCAUCAUCCUGUGAAUGAUAAACGGUGAAUGAAAAAUAUUAGAUGCUAGUACAUAUACAAAAGAAGAAAAAAACCAUUAUCAAUUUGUAUUUAUUGAAUACCAGUGCUCAGCCAGGGCUGAAAUCAAUACAAGAAAUAACAUCAUUGAUACAUUUGCUGGAUAUAAUCACAAAACUUUCAUAUCUUUUUGAGAAUUUCAGAGUUAGACAGUGAGAGAGAGAGACAGAGAAAAGUCUUCCUCCGUUGGUUCACCCCCAAAAUGGCCACUACUGCUGGCACUGUGCCGAUCUGAAGCCAGGAGUCGGGUGCUUCUUCCUGGUCUUCCAUGCGGGUGCAGGAGCCCAAGCACUUGGGCCAUCCUCCACUGUACUGGAUACAGCAGAGAACUGGACUGGAAGAGGAGCAACCAGGACUAGAACCUGGUGCCCAUAUGGGAUGCCGGCACCGCAGGUAGAGGAUUAACCAGAUCUUGAUUUAGGUAAGAUGAAACUGAAGGAAAUCCUGUUGGAAAAUGUAAUAUUGGUGAAAUUACACUGCCUGCUUUCCGAAGGAUUCAUUCUUAAUGAAGAAUUAGUGAGAGGAAGAGCCUCCUUGCAGAGUGACAGAAAGAGAGAGAGAGAGAGAAAGAGAGAGAAUCUUUCAUCUGCUGAUUUACUCUCCAGAUGGCUGCAAUGGCCAGGACUGAGCCAAGACUCCAUUCAGAUCUCCCAUGUGGGAGGGAAAUACAAUUUUCCACAGGUGUCCAAGCUGUUCUGACUCCGAAGGCCUUGGUCUCCUUGGGUUGGAGCUGUUUCAACAUCUUGAAAUGAAACGACUAAUUAAAGUGUUUUUUGUUUUUGGCUGGAAGUCUUUCUUUUUCCCUGGCUGGAGUUCCGCCUUCUUUUGAAGCCAGUACAGCACAUUCCUAUUUCUAAAUUUUGGUGUGGAAAAUACCAUUGGCUGGGCAACAAAAAAAACAUGAAUGAAGCAUUUGACAAUUGAUUAUCUACCUUGCUCUUCCUCAUACUAAGUGGGACAUGCACCAAGAAUCCAUCAUCACUUUCUCACAACUUCAUGUGAGUCAGACAGACCCUUGAAUAAAAAUAUUUCUUUAUAUGGAUUAUCAACUUUAUGAAUAAUCUUCUCCCCUAUGUUUAUGAUGGCUUAUUGAUUUUAGAAAAAUUAAUUAUUUUAUCAACAUGUUUUGAGAGACUGUAUUUGCCAGAUUUUGAGAAUAUAAUACACUCUGCUAUUGUUGAUUGUUUAUUAUUUGCCUUCCCCAGGAGAUUUAACCUCCUUUGGAGAAAACCUAUGACCUUCUUGCUUACUGAAGAAUCUAUUCCAUAGGGCACCAAUCUCUGACUCAUGGUGGAAGAGUAAAGAAAUAUAAACAGAAUAAAUAGAUUUUUGAGCUUAAUGGACAUAACUCUUGCAUUGGAAGACAACACAAACAAAUGGGGAGAUAAUGCUUGAAUUUAAACAAUGAUAAUUCAUUCAUCUAAGAACCAAUAGAGGCAUGCAUAAAGAGUUAUGAAGUCCCAAAUAUGAACAGAUUCCCAAGUGUUUGAGGGAGGCAAUAAACAUAAGGAAGAGAUUCAAAGUUAGUGUUGUCUGAACUGUACCAAGAGGAAGAAGAGCUCCCUGGAAAGUCUGGGUGAAAGGAGAGAAGAAAAUCACAGUGACAGGAUAUUUGUACUUUGUGACCAAACACAAUUAGAGGUACUUGAAGGACCAGAGGGAGAGGAUUCCAGCUUGAUGAAAAACAGAAGCAGAAGGAACUAAAAUCAGAGGACUCAAGAUUUGUGGAACCCUUGGAACAAGAAGAACAAGAAGCAACUAGAAGAGAUGGUAGUGAAGUGGAUAUUCUUGUCUGUUCUACUCAGAUACACUGGUCUACUUGCUGGUCCUCAAACAUACUAGGAAAGGAGAAGUCAGUACCUGCUCUGCCUUCUAAGCCACUAGAGGAAAAUGAGAGCAAGCUCAGAGGAGGUCAUCAUUUCUUCUGGAUUCCCUUGAGGCAUGCUGGAACAUGAAUAAAGAGUAGAGAAGCUCCUUACAAAUGUGCUGCCUCCAAAUAUGUCAGCAGAAUAACCUGACUUUUCCCAGCAACAGCCAUCUUUCAGUCUCUGAGCACUUCAAGAACUUCUGGCCAUUAACGAGGAUCUGGAUUGGAAGCGGAGCAGCUGCGACUCGAACCUGCGCCCACAUGGGAAGACAGCACUGCAGCUGGCUGCUUAACCUGAUGUAUCACAGAGCUGGCGAACUUGAAGUGUAAACACUUGUUGUCUUUUGGUGACGCUUUUAGGUCCCCAGUGAGCUUUCUUUGACAGCAAAGAGCUUUAAAAAUGUAAGUUUAUGCUUACUUAAAAUCAAGUACUGAUUUUCCUUUUCUAAAGAAUGUUAUUAAUAAAUGGGUGCCUUGCACACAUCUGGUCACAGAACUGUUCCUUUUGAGCACAUAGUAGGCAAAAACAACUCCUUCCCAUUUAUAGAUUGUACACUUAGAAUACAAGUUAGAUGUCAAGAACUCAGGUAAAAUUUAGUACUUUUAUUACUGAUUUACAAUUCAUAAUUUUAUAAUUUAUUUCUGCUCCUUUUUAUCUAUUUCAGACUUCAGCAGAAUACUUCUUUUUAUUUUUUAUUUUAUUUUUUGACAGGCAGAGUGGACAGUGAGAGAGAGAGACAGAGAGAAAGGUCUUCCUUUUGCUGUUGGUUCACCCUCCAACGGCUGCUAUAGCUGGCGUGCUGUGGCCGGCGCACUGUGCUGAACCGAAGCCAGGAGCCAGGUGCUUCCUCCUGGUCUCCCAUGCAGGUGCAGGGCCCAAGCCCUUGGGCCAUCCUCUACUGCACUCCCGGGCCACAGUAGAGUGCUGGACAGGAAGAGGGGCAACCGAGACAGAAUCUGGUGCCCCAACCGGGAGUAGAACCUGGUGUGCAGGCGGAGGAUUAGCCUAUUGAGCCGCGGCACCGGCCCAGAACAUUUCUUUUGGUAUGUGUUGUGGGUUGAAUUGUGGGCCCCUAAAAGAGGCAUUCACGCUGAGUGUGAUCUUAUUUGGAAAUAGUCUUUUCAGAUGUAAUGAUAUUAAAGUCAUUGGUGUGGGCCCUAAAUCCCGGGACUGCUGUCUUUGAAAGGGAAAAGAGAGGGAGAUGUGGAAACGAGACCAAAAGGAGAGAUAUGGAGGAAGAAGGCCAGGCAAAGAUUGGCAUGGUGUAUUUAGAAGCCAAGGGAUGCCCGAGACGUCCAGGAGUCAUGAGAAACCGGGAAGGGGCAGAGAAGCAUUCUUCCCUAGUGCUGGCCACGCUUCCCUUGGCAGGGAGCAUGGGCCUGCAAAACCUUGAUUUUGACUUCUAACCUCCAGAAUUCUAAAAGAAUGGGUUUUCGUUGUUUCAAACCAUCCAGUAUGAUUAGUUAUGACAGCCCUACAAAACUGAUAUACCACGUGAUGAGUUUUUAAUAGUCAGAAGUCCUUCCAAGCCAUACACACUUCGUUUUGUUCAUUUCUUAUUUCUCUCUGAAAAGGAACACUAGCACUUGCUUAAAUCUUAUUAAAAUACAAACUUUCUUUUACAGUAGAUAAAGUUUCUUUCACAUCCCAAAUUUCUUCACAUUGAUGUGUUUUUUGUUAUGUGUUAUUUUUAAGUGUUCUUUUGGGUUUCACAGCUUUCUGACAACGUAUCCAAAGGAAAAAGUGGAAAAUUGUGAACUGUUUGACUAGAAUGCAGAGAGCAGGAGUUUGGAGGAUUGAUCUUGGUGUCUGAGUUAUGUAAAUGCCCCUAGAAUCCAGCACAGAGACUUUCACAAAUGGGGGGUAAACAGACAAACAAACAACAAAAACAGUUAUUGAAUUUAAAGUCAAUAAUAAAGUGUCGCCAUGUUCAUCAGAAUUUAAAAGCAUGCAAAUGUCUUUUUCUGAUUACCAGGGAGUCAUUUUCCUUGUCAAGUUAGUUCUGUGUAAGAUUUUUGAGAUUUGCUGAUUGUGUGGCCCUUGUAUCUUCUGUUGAGUAACAGUGCUUUUUUUCCCUUUCAUAUUAUUUGUUGAACUUUUUUACUUAGUGUAGGGUUAAUUUUAUGAUCAUUAAGUAAACUGAAAGUAAAUCUUUAUAAAAAUUGAGUGGAGGGGCCGGCGCUGUGGUGUAGCAGGUAAAGCUGCUACUUACAGUGCAUCCCAUAUGGGCACUGGUUCAAGAUCUGGCUGCUCCACUUCCGAUCCAGCUCCCUGCUAUGGCCUGGAAAAGCAGUAGAAGAUGGCCCAAGUCCUUGGGCCUCUGGACCCGUUGGAAGACCCAGAAGAAGCUCCUGGCUCCUGGCUUCAGAUCAGCGCAGCUCUGCCCAUUGCAGCCAAAUGGUGUGUGAACCAGCAGAUGGAAGACCUCUCUCUCUCUCUCUCUCUCUCUCUCUCUCUCUGCCUCUCCUUCUCUCUCUGUGUAACUCUGACUUUCAAAUAAAUAAAAUAAAUCUUUAAAAAAAAUUAAGAGUGGGAAUGGGAGAGGGAGUAGGAAGAAAUGUUGGAGCAUGGGUGGGAUGGAGAGUAGGGUGGGAAGUAUCACUAUGUUCCUAAAUCUGUAUAUGUGAAAUAUAUGAAACUUGUAUAACUUAAGUAAAAUUAAAAAAAAUAAACUGUCUUACCAUUUAAAGAAAAAGAAUUUGUGUUCUUCAUAAUAUGCACCAAGUACUGCCUUCAGUCUAUAGAUAGGAUUAGAUACAAGUUUGUUUUUGUUGCAGUGUGGAGUUAGUUGUAUAAUCAUCAAUAACAACAAUAAUACUAGUUUCAUAAUAACUUGAAUAAUUUUAUAAUUGACUAACAUUUCCAUGCAUAUCAUUUGCUCCCCUUAAUAAGUCUGUGGAUUAUUUAUCAAUCCUAUUUUACUGGUCUCCCAUAUGUGUUUGGAAAAUAAAAUUCAAAAACAUUUGAAGACUUAACCAAAGUCGCAGUGCCCAAAUUCAAGGUUCUGUUUGUUACAGUAGUUCAGUGAAUUAUUAAAACCUAUAAUAGACAAAACAAGAGUGUCAUUUGCAUCUUUCUGCCACAUUUCUGUUAUACUUGUGUACCACACAUCAUCACUAAUGUGGAGAAAAUUUUGUUUUUCAAGCUCAAAGUCUGUUCUCAGUUUUGUAUUAUAGAAAGGGGCUUAUUGACAGUAGACUAAUUAGGAGAAUUCUAAGUAGGUGAUGAGGUGGAACAUGUUUUGCAUAAGACAAGAUGAAAUCUGUUCAAAUCUCUUCUGCAGGGCAGCCAAAAUGACACCAGCACUUUGGCAGUGAUGGAUGAAAGAGCUCUUAAAAAGAAGUUUCAGCUUUAAUGACAUUCUUGAAAAUGUGGAUGAGCUGCCUUUUUAGACUUUAAGACAUUGGAGAGAUAGGAAAUCACAGUAAGAAGAAAUGCUGAGAUUGCCCUUAUUUUCAAAAAUACUUCCUAGAAAAAUUUUCAAAUCAUCAUCUCAUUGACAGCAACAAUCCUUCACUGGACACCAACUCCUUAUAACACACAAGGUCAUGGCACAAUUUUUAAGUAUUUUACUAAAUUCUAGAAAUUAUGCAAUAAAAUUUGGUUUUCCAUUUGAAGUUUGCAUACAUUGAAAAU